CCUCAUGUUAGGUUACCCCUCCACCUCUCCUCGACCUAUAAAAAGAGCCCCCUCCCUUCUUCCUUUUCCCCACUGCCAUCGCCAGUUACCUUCUCAAUGUUCUCUUCGUCAUAUAAACUAGCUUACCGUUCAUGGAGACGAAAGGUCGACCAAGACGAGCCAAGGCCGCGCGACAAGGGUUCUUCUCCUCGCACAGCAGAGGAACAAAUCUUGGAUGGCUUGUUUCUCUUUUGUGCGAAGAAUUGAAUCCCGGCGAAACGUGCUUAGUAUAUUUGUCUGAUUUGUAAAGAUUUUUAUCAAUUAAGUAUCGAUAUUUCGGGCUCUUAUCUCUUUUUCCUAUCGGCUAUUGAAGUUUCAGUUGCAGGUUCAACAUAUCUGCGCUUCGCUUGCAUCUUGAGACUCGGAUGUGCAACCAUCUGCCUUAAAACUUCAUUCUUUAGAUAUAACAUUGGGUGACAGUAUGUCAUGCGGAGCAGGAUGCAGUUUUGCGCAAUGACUCAGUUUCGACCCUGUGCCUCGCAUAUAUAUUUUUUUUCUUUUCUCUACUCGUUUUUUUUUUCUUUUCUUCCAAAGGUACGGUGGGGAGAAAUAAUUUCGAAAGGGUGGGCUGAACUUUAAUCCCUCCAGCGGCUAAAGUCCGGUCCAGCCGGCGGAAGGGCCCAGCUAGCGAAAAUCGUCAACGCCAUAUAAGCCGGGGGAUACCUUCGCUGCGCUCCUCUCUCCUCACCCGCAUCACCGCCGCUGCCGUCGCUCUCCGUCCCGGAUUCGGCCCUACCCCUGCCGUCGCUCUCACUCCCCCCAUCUGACCCGACAGUCGAGAUGGAAGUUCCUUUUGGUGACAUUCCUCUUUUCCUGGAGCCUAAUGAACAAGUCAGGAAUUAUGCCAUUCGUGCAAGUCGUCGCGCAGCUGGUGCCAAGGUGUCAUGGACUACCAACAUUCUGCCCCUGUCUGAAGUGUCAGACGAUAUCAUGAAUGAUAAGUUUUUCGUUGAGACCAUUUUCCGCAACCACAAUGGAGGGACAAGAAGAUUCUCGUACUUAUCUGGAACACUCUUAUACAAGUUUCAUUCACUCUAUAUGUGUUCAUGCACUUCAUCUAAUGAAUUUCCCUUUUUUGAUUCUUAGUUUUAUUCUCAAUGGAGGUUCUACCAUUGACCAUGUUUGUGAUCUGAGCUUUUCUCCUAACAAAUUCUGAGUUUACCUUUAACAGCUUUGUAUUGAUACUAUAUGAUAUGAUUGUUCUUCAGGUGGAUUCGUCUGUCAAAUCUAAUAUUCGUCCCUUGUUGAACAAGCAAUUGGUCAAAACUCUGCCUGCAACGACUACUGAACUCUAUUUUUGUCUAUCUGAAUUUUGUCAUGUAUGACUUUGGUAUGAUUUUUGGUUGGUUAUGCACUGAUCAUUGGUUGCUUGCUUGUUGAACAAGCAAUUGGUCAAAACUCUGCCUGCAAAAGUUUGUCAUCGUACCGCUCCUCUACUUUUGUUUAGGGUUAGAGAAUAGCUUUAUGAUCGCCUAAAACAGCUCUGGCCACCGGCGUACAUCCACGUCCCAACCUGGGCUCAUUCACGUUAAACUUAUCAACUUGGCAAGCUCGUGUGCAGCACGGUUAUCAUCUCUACUACAAGCAUUUAGAACCAUAAACGCAUUUGUAUCUUCAGGUCCUCCAGAACUGUCGCGAUCUCUAUUACAAGCAUUUGCAUCGCAUUUAGAGAACCAUAAACGCAUUUGUAUCUUCAGGUCCUCCAGAACUGUUGCGUAGGCAGAGGUGUCUGGCUCCCUCCGACCCAGAACUGUCGGGUAGGCAGAGGAGUCUUGGCUCCCUCCGACCCAGUGCAGCUUGCAGCAGUUAUGAAUCCGUCUCAAUGUAGAUGCGGGUUGCUGUAAUUUGGGUGGCCAGAUCCACACUCACCUGGUCAGAUUUUCCUGUCAAACAAGCAACCAAGUCUUCCGCGUUGUCUUGGACGACGACGCCCCAAGCAGAGUAUGAGCUUCCAGGCACAUGGGCUCCGUCAAUGCUGAAUCAGCAAAUUAAGUUAACUUCACGUUGACAGGCACCUACCACCCGUGGAUGAGAACCCUCCACCAACCUAGGUCAUCAGGACAUCGGAAUACCCGGCUGUUUCCUUCUACCUCCUAAAUCUCGGGAUAAUUAGGCUAUAGUAAAACUCUCCUGAUGAUGCCAUGUCAUCUAUGUUACUGUUGCUAAUUAAGUGGUAGUUCAAAAACAUUGCAAAUUCAAAAAUGAAUUAGUGACAAACACCCAAAGUUUUCAAAGGUCAAAACAAAAAUGUUCGGUGGGUGCCAAAUAUUGCACUGGUAAUUAUUGUGGAGAAAACAUUUUUUUAGAAAGUGCCUAAAUAUUUUAAAGUGAAAUAAAACAAAAAAGAAAAAUAGAGAAAAGAAAAGGAAAAGAACCCCCCC
rnacentral:rRNA from 1 species